AACGGAAGCCUGUUUCCAGCUACACACAUCGUAGCCUUCCAUAUAAAACUUCACUCCAGGACAGUAAUCUCAGACAAAAAUUACAACAGUUGUUUGAUCCAAUUAUAUAUAAUGCUGGUCACUAUAUAGAUCUUGGUUCGAGUCAACAGUGUGAGCACGCAAACAAAGAGGUCACACUAAGAGCACCUAAAAGUCAUCACUAUGGAAACUCCAGUAGUCUUGAUUAUCGUGUCCAUGUAACAGCAGCAUUCAUAAAUGAAGGAAGGCAGUACAUUUCUAAGAAGUUCUUGUUGUUGUUCUUUACAUAUACCUGUUUGUUGGACACAGUUAGACUUAUGUGAAGCCCUGAAUGUAAUGUAAGUAAAUAAAGUUUUCAUUUAAAGUUAUUCAAUCUACAAUCCAGAUAAUCUAUCAAAUGCAUACUUAAACGAUAAAUUUUAUAAAAGAUGUACUAUUAUAUUCUUAAAUAUCAGACAGGAUUUUCUAUUAUGCACACAAUGCAAGAUAUACUAUUAUAUUCUUAAAUAUCAGACAGGAUUUUCUAUUAUGCACACAUUGCAAGAGAAACUUUUCUUCCGCCGCCAAUGAAAGACAAUUUGCUUACACAUGACGUCAUAAUUAUGAGUAAACUCAUAGUCUUUGUUACUAUACAAAAUAAGCUGCUACUAGUUUUUCAUAAUUUCUUUCCGAAAAAACACCACAUAACGUAUUGUUAUCAAAUGAUUAAAUUAUUAACUUGUAUAAAACAGGGUUACUCAAUGUUGGGUCUUUCACCUGGGACUCGUACAGUUUGUCAUGCAGGGAAAUGUAUGAAACAGCAGGAAAAAAAGAGAGAAAAGGCAAAAUUCCCCUCCACCAAACGUAGGUGAUUGUUGUUACAACAGGAACGGGCCACUAAUCAGGGUGCAAAUGAGGCACUGGAAGGAGAUACAUAUCAGUCUGGUAUUGGUCAUGCAGAAACUGUUAAUGUCGAGAAAAUACCUGAUUCAAUUCCACGGGGGAAUUUCAAGCCUGCAAAAUUCCAUUGUAAGCCAACUAUAAUAUCCUUUGACUUGGAAACAACUGGGCUAAUUCAAGGAGGAGUCCAACCUCAGAUGACACAAAUUUCUGCAGCAGAAGUUGUGCCAGGGCAACAAUUCAACACAUAUGUCAACCCUACAGUUCCCAUUGAUAACACAGCAACUAGUGUUACUGGAAUAGCAUAUUUUGAAGGCCAGAUGACAGUUAAUGGAACAAAAGUUCAAUCUGUGAAUAUUAGAUCAGCAGUUGAUGAUAUGAUCGCCUGGAUUUCUAAAUUUCAAAAUGUGUGUUUAGUUGCACAUAAUGGACGUAGGUUCGAUUUCCCAAUUUUGGUAACACGCUAACAAAUCUCGGAGUUCUUAAUUGAUAAGUUUUCAAAGUGUGCAUUUAUUGAUUCUUUGUUUGUGUUUAGAAAACUUUAUCCUAAGCAAUCUUUGAAACAAGUUGACCUUGUAUCCUCUAUUCUUGGUGAAGUGUAUGAUGCACAUAAUGCCAUUGAAGAUGUAAAGGCACUCGGAAAGUUAAUUCAGCCCAACAAAAGAUUUGAUGGAACAUAGUUUCAGUCCAUCUGCAGUAGCCAACAACAUCAUGUUCAAUAAGGCUAAAGCCUCAAAUUUACCAUCAUUGAAUCCUUUGAUUUAUACAGGAGUAAUGAAAAGACCUACUGCUGAAAACAUUGCAGGAUCUGGAUUAAAUUUGUCGCAUUUAAAGUUGUUGUAUAUUCGCGGUGGGGAGGACGCUUUACGGGAUGUUUUCACAGCUAAGAGUUCUGAAGGCUUGCCUACAGUCACACAUUUUAAAAAAUUAUUGGAUGAAAUAAUUCCUAACAUGUCAAAGUUUUUUUUAAUUAAAAAAAUGAUUAGGUAACAUGUUUGACAAGUACUCAGAAAAAAAGUAUUUUUGAUACGUAUGUUACUUAU